AAUGAUUUGUCUUAACAAACAAAAACAUUUAUCUGAAAAUAGGUAUGAGUACUGGACUGAAAACAGGUUAAAAAAUUUUAAAAAGCAGACAAUGUGCAUAGAAGAACGUUGAAAUACCUUCAAAAACCUGGAGAACUAUUGCUCAAGACCCCCACUAUAAAAUUAAGAGGGUCACUGGAAGCAAAGACUUGCAAAUUAGGAAUGAGUCAGCCCUGUCACGCGGUGUUCAGGUCACUUGAAUCGGGACUUUGGGACAGUGUGGCAGUGUUUGUUGAGAAAGCUUUUCCUAAAAAGGAAAUGUUACUCGCAUUCAGACUAAAGCUGCCUGAAUUUCCCCGAAAGAGAGUGGAAGAAUGACCUCCAAGGUCACAGUUAAAUGGUAAAUGGACUAAUUCUUAAAUAGUGCUUUUCUACUCUUCUGGAGCACUCAAAGCGAUUUAUACAACAUGUCUCAUUCACCCAUUCGCACCCAUUCAUACAAGCACUUUUCUCUAUUGUGAUAAUGGUGAUGAUAUGAACUGAAAUUUUGGUACAGAUGGUACAGCAAACUGUGCUCACAGACAGAUUUCUACAAGUACGCACAGAGAUUUCUCCAGAUUCUCUGAAUCUUUUGAUAAUAUUAUGUACUGUAGUCAAUUUUAUAGACACUGUUUUUUACAGAAAGGCAAACCUCUGCUCACCUUUACUUCUGAGAAACUCUGCCUCUCUAAGACGCUCUUUUCCUAGUCAGUCAUGUUACUGACCUGAUCCCAAGCAAUGUAAUACGUUUCUCCAGCUGUUUCUUUCCUGUCCUACUUGCUUUUCUAGCCUUUUGCUGCCCAACUUUUUGAGACAUAUUACUGCCAUCAAAGUCAAAAUGAGUCAGUAGUUUUUAUGACAUUAUAAAGGCAAUAAAAUAUGGAUUUCUUUGGAACUUUUUUGGAGUUGUCUCACACAUAUAAACAGAAGUUUUUUUUUCCCCAGCAGGCUUGUUGGUUGCAUGGAAAAGGCGGAAGAGCUUAAAUUGAUGAAGUUCGAGAAGGAUGAGGUCCGGUCUGUCUACAUGUGCGUGCCUCCUCUAGUCUCUGGGGACAUAAGUACUUCAUCCUGGGACCAUAAUGUUUCUGUAGAUUCCCAGUAAAAUCAACCAUCUUAAUAAGACUGCAAUGACAAACAGUUUAGCAGUGAUCAGAACUGAACUCUCUUUUGUCCAGAGAAGGCCACACUUUUCCAGAAUGAUUAUUCUAUUUUGAUUUCAUGCUCUACAAAUAAGAACUUAACACAUCUAAUGGACAGUACUGAAAAACAGUCCAGUAUUUCUGUGUAUGGCUUUUAACUUAGUGUUGCACAAAAGGCUUUUAACCUUCUGAAAUCUAAGCAUUCUCUCUAUAUGAAUAUUUUUAUAACUUUAACACAGCACAGAAAAAUAGUUUCCUUGGUUUGAAACGAGGAUGAUUGACAUAUUGUUAAAGACCCCAAGGUCUCAGUCAAUCCUCUUCAGCUUUUGAUAUUGAAACCCAAUCUCAGGACAAAGAGCAGAACUGUGCUUUUAAUUCCUGGUACACCUAACAGCUGUGGGGAUGACCGCAUGGAUUGUAAUGUCAGAGGUAUAAGUAGCCUUAAAUGGGGCGAGCAGUGUGGUGUGACUCCUCCAAAUGACUGUGGUAUUAAUUCAUCUGUUCAGUGAUACAUGCUUGAUAGAUCACAUCGCGUAUUUCAUUUAAAACCCUAUAAAUAUGAAUUUCUCAUCAUUAUACUCGCACUUUAGGAAAGUUUAGUCUGUGCUUGACAUGGCAUUGUGUGUUAAUUCAGCGCCGUCACAAAGGGGUCGAAGUUAUGUGACCUGUAUUCAAGGUCAAAUAUCCGUGACGACAGGUUGCAUGCAGUGUGUAUCUGUGGCUUCGGCUGUCCGAAACGCUCCACUUGAAGAGAUAGGGCAGAGAGCUGUUGUCUGAGAAUGCAGGCAAUAUGUGUCAACACCAAAUUCAAAUCUGCCACGGAAGGAGACAAUUGAUAAGUGAACAAGCACCCGUGCUCGCAGGGGGAAAUAAAAAUACUAAGAUGAUGACAUGGAUUUAGUGUUCAUGUACUGCUCACCUAUACUGUGUAUCUUUUAGACACAACUGGAGAGCUGAUUAGUUUUUGAUCACGUAGUUUGAAAUCUGACUCCAGUUGUAUGUUACGCAUCUUGUUUCAUGUUUUAAGUUUUUCCAACAAUUUAUAGUCUUCUGAAUGACUUACCUGUCCAGACUUGUACCAUAAAGGGGCCUGAAUUAAAAUAAGUGUUAUCACCUUAUGAAAUUUUUCGUAUUAUUUCUCUUCAAAUCACAGUGUUAUAUAACUCAUUUAUCACUGAGAUGAGCUGAAAUACAAAACAUACAAACACUUUUCACACACAAAAACAGAGAUGAAGCGCAGGGCGUGGAGCGUAUUAAUAUGAGUUGUUAACACUGCUUGGUUACAAAAAAUUAUGGUAGUUACUAUGUUACAAUUGUGUAACAUUAACUGAUGAUGCAGUAAAAAGGUAAUAAUAUGGCCAUGUAUCCAAAUGCCUAACCCACCAUAACAUAGUCUUUUAUCUGUUUAGCGUGAAUUGCAUUAUCAUGACACCAAACUCUUUGUUUCGCUUCCAUCUGUUGAUCAUCCCUCAGUAUAAACCAUUUUCUAAUGUGUGACACUAAUUUGACCCUAUUUAUGGGUCAGCGUGACUCAUGAGGCAAGGAGCUCCAGCAGGCAGGGCGUCCUUUCUCUUCUAAAGGUUUAACUCAGGAUAUCUUUUAAGCUGAGUGAUCCAUCGCAGAGCUCGGCCCCCUUCUAUCUUU
ensembl:lncRNA